UCAUUACAAAAUGAUUGUCACAUAACACCAAAAGGAUUCAAGUUCCAAUAAUCAAAGAUACAAAUCCCAUACAUCAUUUAGGAUAGAUUUAGUUGCAGAAGGAAAAAAGAAUGAAAAAAAUAAAAAAGAUUCCCUUGAAUUUGAAUAGUAACUCUCCUCCAUAACUAAACCACUCCUUACACGACACGAAGCAUGGAAGCAAAAGGUUAGAAUAGGCUAUUAUGCUAAGCAGAUGUGACACACGAAGAAACCAUAACCUCCUCCUUCUCCUGAAUCUCCUUGCUGCACUUGACGAUGGCUAUUUUGGGCGUGCGCACCGCUCUGCCUCUAGCGGAGUAAGUCCGAUACACUAAGCACCCUUUCCCUGACAGCAACUCUUGCUUCAACAAUAGCCCUCCACAGCCUCGUAGCUGGCAUAACUGAACCCACUUGAAGGAUAUAAAAGGCGCCUUUUAAAAAAAGAAAGAAACAAGAAGAGGACAACAGAGCAGAGACAGGACCAAAGGCAACUGAAGAGAUUCAGCCUGC
rnacentral:lncRNA from 1 species